rnacentral:lncRNA from 1 species
CUACAUCACACAAUAGCUGAAACAGAAAUAUUAUAGGACUAAGAACACAUAAAUGAUACUGAUCAAUGCAAAAGGUGAAGUCAUCACAGCGAGAUCAAAGGUUGAAACGCUUGUGGUAUAAUUGCUUAAGGAUUGGUAGCUGAUUCAGGUUUGGUGUCUUUGGAAGGGAAUGUGGACUUUGGUAACUCAGGCAAGUGGGGAAAAGUUGGCAGUUCAGGUUUUGGCAACUCAGGCAAGUGGGGAAAAGCUGGCAGUUCAGGCUUUGGAAACUCAGGCAAUUCAGGUUUUGGCAGCGUGGGAAUUUCAGGCUUCGACAACUCAGGCAAUUCAGGUAAUUUUGGCAGAGUGGGAAGUUCAGGUUUAGGAAAGGUUGGGACUUCAGGUAAUGGUGGAAGCUCAACCUUAGGAAGUAAUGGCAAGUCAGGCAAUUCAGGCUUAGGAAGCUCCGGGACCUCAGGUAAUGUUGUCUCUAGAAGCUGUCGUGCUUCUGCAGAGAUUGACAGAGCAACGAGUGAGAGCAGAACAAUGAGUGAAGGGGAGCGAAGAUUGGCCAUAACUAUGCAACAAGAUCAAUCAGCUGUAAAUACAAUUUAUCCUCACUUUUGUUUUGUGUGUGUUGAUGUUCACUUGUGUUGAGCUUUUAUAGAAGUGGGAAGUGAAGAAUGGGGAACUUCCAAAGGUGAUUUAGUGGGAAAAGUUGUGUUAGCUCAACUUCCCACCCAUAAGACUCCCACUGUUGGCAUGACCAACUAUAGACUUCCUUACAAGUGUAACCUUGCUAUCUUUCUAUAUGGAGUCCAGAGAUUGGUUAGAUUGAUAAUAAGCUAAAAUAUGGUUCUCACUUGUAAUCAUUCUCAGAAAUCAGAACACUUGUGAAGUUCAAGCUUUUUCACCUAUUUAAUAAUUCACUUCUUUCCUGUUCUACCUACAAAAGAUGAGAUUCUGAAGAAUGGUUCUUCUUUAGUUACUUUAAAAUAAUGUUCAACGAAGAUAGCCUCAUCUGCAAAGUUGGCCAACCUACACACUAAACUUUGACAUGUCUUUCUUUUUAUUGAAGCUCUGACUGAUCUUCACAUCACAUCCAAUUAUCCACAAGGUACUCUUCUAUUUGAAAUUAAGAAUUUUAUUAAAAAUUAAUUCAAUUGAUUUCUUUUAUAUCAAUCUCUUGGUUGGAAUGAGAUUCAAUUUUUUUGACUUAUAAAAUUUUCAUAUUAAAAAAAUUGAAACCAUGUGUAUUCUUGUAAGAAUUUAUUUAUAUUCUUUUUUUUUUCAAACUGAAUCAUUGCAAACAAAAGGACUAUAUAAGGUAGUAUAUAUGAUUCUCAGUUGUAAUUAUAACAGUUCAAAAUAUGUCUAAUCACAUUAGUUUCGGUAGAUCUUCAACAAACUGAAAAUUACUAAUGUUUACAACGGAAUCUGUCUCAGCAAUAUGUAAUCUCCAUAUGCUUUUUUAGUUUUCAGAAACCUUGUAAUUUUUACAGAAUAAAGGAAUUUUACCAUUACGGGUGUAACAUCUAGUUAAACUCCGAUGUCGGAAUCUCAACGUUCUGACGGAAUCUCCGUCGAGAUCCAGAAUCUCGAAGCUAAAAUUUUUAGAAGGAUAAAAUAGAGUUUUCAUAAAAUGAAUUAAAAAUUUUUCUUGGUGUGUUUUAAAAAAAAAUAAAAAAUUUAGAGGAGUUUUAAAGUUCGGCCGCCGAAGACGGCUCUUCCAGCCACUUAUAAAAGGCCUUCAACCCAAAAAUAUGAGAACUCUUUCUCUAUUUUCGAGCAGAGGUAAGUCCAUGCCCUUUUCCAGACAUUCUUGCUAAAAUUACUUCAAAUCUCUUGGAGAAUACAUGAGUUUUUACUUCAUUUUUUAAGAUUUGAGUUUGGAUUUCAAGCUUUAAACUUUGGAGACCUCCGAAAAUCGAUUUCCCAAUUCUCCAAAUCUUGGUUGUUGUGUUUUCUAUGUUUUUCAAGAGGUAAGUUCAAUCUUUGCUUUUCUUAUGCUUUUUGAAGGUUUUAAACCGAUAUUAUAAGUUGUUAGGACAUGCAUGAUUGAUUAUUCUAAAGUUUUAAAGUUUGAGUUAGUUUUGAUGAUGGAUGAUUUUCUCCUGGGAUUUUGUUGAUGCAUGUUGAGUUUAGAACAGUUUUUGAGGUCUCUUAUGCGUGUUAAGUGUGUAUGGUAGUCUUUAGCCUGUUGCAUGUAAGUUUGGGUUUGUUUAUUGGCUAUGAGCAUAGGGCAAAAUCAGGUUCUGCCUUACUGGAGAUCCUAGGUUCAGCCGCUGAAGCAAGGUUCGGCCACCAAAUCUGUCUGUAGAGGCAGCCAUUUGGCCACCUAACCUGCCGCUGAAAGUCCUCUGUUCAGCCUUUUUCAGCUUGUUUCCUACGUGUGUUCUUGUAUGUUCUUAGGGGUUUUCUUGAGGGUAGUUUAAGUAUUGUAAUAGUUAUGUUUGGUUCCUCAUUUAAAUCCAUCUAUGUAGGAUCGGACUUUGGAGACUGUAGAGGCUUGCAGUGAGAUAACUGCUUCAGUACUAGGCGUGCAUCAGUCAAAGGUGAGUAGAACUGAACUGAUAUAUUAUUUUAAAGAAAUCAAACUUUUUAAGCAUACUCAUACAUCACGAAUGUCAUGUAUAUACGAUUAGGUUGUUUUGCAUUAGAGUUCACGAAUAUAAUACAUUGCAUAAAUUAUUGUUGUUGUGGAUGGACGUUGGAUGACCCACUAGCCCUCGAGUAUGUUAUGAUAUGUUAUGAUGGAUAUGGAAAGACUAGGGUUGCCUAUUCUACGCCUCUGGCACUAUGUAAGGGAAAGACCAGGGCUGCCCAUUCUAUGCCCCUUGCACUAUGGAUAUGUUAUGUUAUAUUUAAGAGGAAAACCUGAGGAGCACUCGUCGUGGGCCGAGCACUAUUGAAAUCUGUAGAGGGUUACUGAUGACAAGUCCAUUUUGAUGUAAAUUGUUUGUGCUGUGAUGCAUUCAUACAAUCAUAUAUUUUAUUGAACUGUUUUUUUAUGUUCUGCUCACUAGACUCUUAUAGUUUAUCCCCUUUCCCCUAAUCCCAGGUUUGCAGGAUCAAAGUUAGCUCGGGAAGUCGGCUGAGUUGCUGGUAUAGCCUAUUGUAAUAGUAUAGCUAUGGAAAUAUAUUCAUUUGUGGAUUAGAAUUGUGCUUUGCCCGGGUUCUUCCUUGUAAUCCUUGUUUCAUGAUCAUUUUAUAUAAAAGUUUUUAAGUAUAAGUUUAUGUUUAAAUCGAGCUUGAGGCAUGUUAUGUCACACCCAUUCUCAAAACUGUGGAGAUGGAUAUGACCCGAAAAACUGACAGAACUUCCCCUGUUGUUAAUACAUAUAACUCAUAUGACCUGCUAUAAUUUCAAAAUAUAAAACAUAUAAGAGAUGAUUGAUAGCUAGACUGGUCAAUACAUAAUAUAUUUACAAUAAACAAAACACGUUCAUCAUUUGAAUUUACAAUCUAUACAUAAUCUGUCAAAAUUACAAAAAGAAAAGACAAGACCUAGGAUUGGUCCGACCUCCUCUAGACUCUGAGUGGACGAUGUGGAAGGAAUAACAAACUAGGAGAUGAGGACUGCUGAGCGGAUCACCAAAAAAAAACUGAAUAUUAAAAGAAAUAAGAGUGAGUACAACAUAUUCAGUGAGUGGAUAAAUAAAUAACAAAGGGGAAAAGAUAAGUUUAGGUAAUUAAUAGUACCAAAUAUUUAGCUAAAAUAAGUCAGCUGAAUAAAUACAAUUUAAUUCCUAGGCCUGGGCCUUAUAUGUUAUGUUGACCAUACCGAAGCAUUUGAUGAGGGCUCUAGUAUAGGUUUUAUGUUUUCAGUUACGAUGCAUGCACAAGUCGAGUCUUGGUUCAUGUAAUAAUUAUAUUUUUGUUGUUUGUAUGAUCAUGCAUGGAAUUAUAUCAUAUGUAAUAGGAUGUAUAGUAUGCUUGCUGUGGGCUCCAGUGACCUUAAGUCGAUUUGAACCCUAGCACCGGUAGUGGUCUGGUUCCCGGGUCGUUACAGAGUGGUAUCAAAGCCCUAGAUUCAUAUGACUGGGCCUAGAGUGUUGGGCUCAUAGAUGUUAUAGAGGGCAAAUACAAUUAGGAAAUAUUAUAUCCACUAGGAUAGAAUGUAGAGUCUUGUCAUGAUAUAUGUGAUAACCUCCAGAUCUUUCCUAGCCCAGGAAUAAGGUCGGGUCCAAAAGAAGGCACAGGUCCAAAGCCCAUCAGAUCAUACGCUCGAGAGGCGGCUCGACUUCACGAGCCUGGGCCGGCAACCCAGGAUGAUCCGGAUCAGAUAUGAGCACAAGCCCCAUAAGGGAGUAGGCCCAAUCACUCACCAGCUCUACCCGCAUGCUCUCUGGAGAGCAUUAAAUGGCCGUUACGCAUGGAGCAGGUGCCUGACACGCCCGUAUGUACGGGCCUGAGUGACAAGGACAGGAAGCACUAUAUAUCGGGGGGUCUCCUCUUGCAAGGGGGAUCUUCUUCUUUUUCUUCUCCUGCCUGGACUCCAUUUUUAUUUUCUCUGCAACUCUUGCCUAGAUAUACUACUCUUAUUCAUGAAACCUGACUUGAACGUCGGAGGGUCUCCGCUGGGGCAUCCCGGUGGACCCUUGACCAUUUUUCCUUAUUUUGCAGGUCCCUUUCUCAGAUAGAACAUGGAGAGACCCAUUUGACAGAUUCGUCUGGGAGCCCAAGAAGGAAUCAGAUCCACAUAAGAGGGGGCGAGGGAGGACCAGAUCUAACAAAUAUGGAGCCCAGGGAGAUUUAAAGUUAUCAAUAUGUAUAAUGAUGUAUAAUGUCAUGACUAUAUACAUGUGCAUUGAUGAUAUGAUAGGUAUGAUGUGGGUUCAUGUGUAUCCACAUGAACCAUAUGAUGCUAAUGCCUAUAUGUUUAAAUGAUUUUUCAGAAGACAGAAUGCAUGGCUUAUGUCGAUCUGUACGAUUGACUAGAGUCCCAUCCGAAAAAUGAGGGUAUAGACGCCCUUCCUCCUGCUGCUCCGUCAAGAGUGCGGUCAAGUAGAAAUAACAAGAAUGAAAAGUCAAGAGACCCUAUAAUGUCUUUUAAUAUAAACAAAAAGAGAACAGAUCCGAGUAGGAUGUUUGCAGAUGCCAGAAAAACAGUAGGAAAUGAUUAGAGGAGAGAUAGAAGUUUGGGUAUGAGUUUUGAAGUAGAGGGUGUGGGAGAGUCUGAAAGAGGAACAGAAGGCGUCAGACCAUAGGAUCCGCCUAUCCACCUCAGUACCAACCCUAUGCACAGGAACUCGGGUAUCCGAUGGAAAGUACAACAGAUUACUCUAGCUACCACCCAUACCCCUCAUUCAUACCCUAUCCUCCUUGCUAUUCAUUAUAUCCACCCUACCCUAUCUUAUGUUUUCGCCUCCUCCCCAUUACUAGAAUUUGGCAAACUCUAACUCAGGAAAUGUUGCACCACCUCCUCCUCCAGCAAAACCAGCUAGAAAAAAGUUUUUAUACCCAGAUAGAAAAAAGUUUUUUCUUCAAACUAUAUCAUUCAUUUUAUUUUAUUUACAAUUUUAAUUAAAUCAGUUUUUGAUAAUUUUUCAAAAAAUUAAAUUUGAAAUAAAACAGAUAUUUUUUUUAAAAAUUUUAGGACAUUAAUAAUUUUUAACUUUGAUUAGCAAUUUAUAAUAUUAAACAUUAUACUUUUUAAUUAACAACAAUUCCAUUUAAUUUUCUAAGUUCAGUAAUUCUCUUUAUGGCCCUGAACUAUUUAAUAAGAUUGAUGAGGGUCAUAGCAAAAACCAAAUAAAUAAACUGGAUCAAUUUUGUAUAUAGAAUAUAAACAUACAACGUACAUCAUACAAAAGCUGAAACAAAAAUAUUAUAGGACUAAAACUCACUUCAAAUUUAAGCAUGCAUAUAUAUAACAUAUGAAUCAGACACUUAAGAACACAUAAAUGAUACUGAUCAAUGCAAAAGCUGAAGUCAUCACAGCGAGAUCAAACGUUGAAACCCUUGUGGUAUAAUUGCUUAAGGAUUGGUAGCUGAUUCAGGUUUGGUGUCUUUGGAAGGGAAUGUGGACUUUGGUAACUCAGGCAAGUGGGGAAAAGUUGGCAGUUCAGGUUUUGGCAACUCAGGCAAGUGGGGAAAAGCUGGCAGUUCAGGCUUUGGAAACUCAGGCAAUUCAGGUUUUGGCAGCGUGGGAAUUUCAGGCUUCGACAACUCAGGCAAUUCAGGUAAUUUUGGCAGAGUGGGAAGUUCAGGUUUAGGAAAGGUUGGGACUUCAGGUAAUGGUGGAAGCUCAACCUUAGGAAGUAAUGGCAAGUCAGGUAAUUCAGGCUUGGGAAGCUCCGGGACCUCAGGUAAUGUUGUCUCUAGAAGCUGCCGUGCUUCUGCAGAGAUUGACAGAGCAACGAGUGAGAGCAGAACAAUGAGUGAAGGGGAGCGAAGAUUGGCCAUAAUUAUGCAACAAGAUCAAUCAGCUGUAAAUAAAAUUUAUCCUCACUUUGUUUUGUGUGUGUUGAUGUUCACUUGUGUUGAGCUUUUAUAGAAGUGGGAAGUGAAGAAUGGGGAACUUACAAAGGUGAUUUAGUGGGAAAAGUUGUGUUAGCUCAACUUCCCACCCAUAAGACUCCCACUGUUGGCAUGACCAACUAUAGACUUCCUUACAAAUGUAACCUUGCUAUCUUUCUAUAUGGAGUCCAGAGAUUGGUUAGAUUGAUAAUAAGCUAAGAUAUGGUUCUCACUUGUAAUCAUUCUCAGAAAUCAGAACACUUGUGAAGUUCAAGAUUUUUCACCUAUUUAAUAAUUCACCUCUUUCUUGUUCUACCUACAAAAGAUGAGAAUCUGAAGAAUGGUUCUUCUUUAGUUACUUUAAAAUAAUGUUCAAUGAAGAUAGCCUCAUCUUCAAAGUUGGCCAACCUACACACUAAACUUUGACAUGUCUUUCUUUUCGUUGAAGCUCUGACUGAUCUUCACAUCCAAUUAUUCAAGUUAAUCUUCUAUUUGAAAUUAAGAAUUUUACUAAAAAUUAAUCCAAUUGAUUUCUUUUAUAUAGAUCUCUUGGUUGGAAUGAUAUUCAAUUUUUUUUUAACUUAUAAAAUUUUUAUAUUAAAAAAAUUAAAACUAUGUGUAAUCUUGUUAGAAUUUAUUUGUAUUAUUUUCUUUCAAACUGAAUCAUUGCAAACACAAGGACUAUAUGAGAGAGUAUAUAUAAAUCUCAGUUGUAAUUAUAACAGUUUAGAAUAUGUCUAAUCACAUUAGUUUUGGUAUAUCUUGAACAAACCGAAAAUUACUAAUGUUUAUAACGGAAUCUGUCUCAACAACAUCUAAUCUCGAUAUGCUUUUCCAAUUAAUCUCGAUAUGCUUUUCCAAUUUUCAGAAGCCUUAUAACUUUUACAGAAUAAAAGAAUUUUACCACGGAGAGUUCAUUUAAUCUUUGAUUUGAUUUGAGUAAAAAUAAAUAAAUUGAAUUAAAUCAAACCAAAUUUUGAAGAGUUCAAACUUAUUUUUUAAAUUUUUUUUAAGUUUGAGUUUCAUUUUGAACUUGAGCCAAGUAUUAAUAAGCUUAAAUUUGGCUCAUUUAGCAAACGAAUUUAGAUAAAUCGAAUUUUUAUCGAGUUUAGUUUUGAAUAAUUUACGAAAAGUUCAAUUUAUUUACAUAUAUAUAUAUAAUAAGAUUUAGUUGAAAACUAAUACGUUUAAAACUAAAUAAUUUUAGUUAAAUAAGUAUAUAUAUAAAUUAGCUUUUAAAAUUAUAAAGGAUGAGUUUUUAAAUUUUAAUGAUUCAAAUAUCUAUAAAUUUUAAAAGUAUAAUUAAACUAUGCAAGUUGAACUUUAAAAAACUUAGAUCUGAUUCAUGAAAAUAUAUACAAAGUAUAAUUUAGUUCUCUUAUAAUAUUACUUUCCGUAUGCUUAUUUGAGACCGUUUAUAAGUUUGUUCGCGAGCUUGCUCAUAAAUUCGAAAAUGAGCUGAAUUCGUGAGUCUUAAAGAGUCUAAUACAAAUGAAUCUGAAAAUUAAGUUCAAUCUUGAUUCAUUUAGAAAUCAAGUUGAGUUUGAUUGAACUUUUUAUCGAAUUGAACUUUCAAUAAUUCACGGACAAUUUAAUCCAUUUACACCACUAAUAGUUAUUUAGGGUCAGAUAUAAUUGCGCUCUAUAAUAGUAGAACUAAAGAGUUGGUUCUAUUAAUUACCACAGAGCCAAUCUAUUAUUGGUCGUUGAUAGAUGCGCAUUGUGGGAGUAACCCUAAUGGAAAAAUUAAUUGAUUGAAAGCUUACUUUGUAGUCAAUAAAUUACCACUAAAAUAUGAGCUUGAUUACAAUAAUAUUUUGACUCAAAUGGCUAAAAUUUUAUCAAUUCGUCUUCUUGUCUCCUUAACAACAUCCACAUCAUUGGCCUCUUUAUUGAAUAGAUAAAAAAAAUUACUUUUUAUACGAAGAACUUAUAAAGAAAGUUCUUAUAAAGCAAUCAUCAGACCAUCAGAGUUUGUUGCUGAGAGGAUCAGGCAUGGUAUGCCAUUUAUGACAAAUACCACACGGGUUAAAAGUAGCCUGUAAGGAUGUUGUUUGGAUAGUUUAGUAAUGGGAUCCAACAGAUUAGGAUGUGUAGGAGUGAAGCCUAAUGUGCCCCUUAUAUGGGUCAUAGGCAAUCCUCCCCCUUGAGCUAGCUUUUGGGGUGAGUUAGGCCUGGCCCAAAUUUAACUUGGUAUCAAAGCCUCCCCAUCCGAUGUUGGGCCUCCCAUAAAUGUGUCACGCACCAGUAAAAUUCUGGGCGUGAGGGGGGUAUGUUGAAUCCCACAUCGGUUGUGGAAAGGGGUAAUGUGCCCCUUAUAUGGGUCAUAUAUAUAUAUAUCAUUAAAUAAAGCAUAAUUCUUGUAUAGAUUGAGUCUAUACGGACAUGUAGUAUAAAUUAUAUGUGAUUUGUUAUAGCUGUCACUACUAUUUUAUAUUACAGUCUGAUGACUGCUGGAUUUCUUCACCCCGACCUAAAGGCCAGGCCCCUGAAAACAGUCCAUAAUCCGAAGGCUUCAAUAUUCCCCUCGAGAGCCAGGUCUAGCCCGCUCAGUCACAGGGCCGGACUCUGCCUAGACUCCUCAAUCAAGCCGGCCCAAACCUCUCGGCCCAAUAAUCAGGCCCUCACCAGGCUCAACUUCAGCCCUACCAUUCAACCCAGCCCAGAAAGAGGAAAAUGACUAACCUGCCCCGCUGAUGGGUCCUUCCGCAUGCGUAUCAGAGGAGAAUUAAUGGUCGUUACGCAUGGAGCAGGCGCCUGACACAUCCGUACAUACAGAGCUGGGCGGCAGAAGACAGCUAGCAUUGUGGCAGAGAGACAGAUAUAUAUAUUACAGUAGAGGCCACGCAAAAGAGGGGGCUCUCUCUUCUUCUUCCUUCUCCUUCCUGGACACCAUUUUUAUUCUUUCUGCAACCCUUGCCUAAAUAUACUACUCUGAGCCAUAAAAUCUGACUUGAGCGUCGGAGGGCCUCCACCGGGGCACCCCCGGUAGGCCCCUGACCAUUCUUUCUUAUUUUACAGGUCCUUUCACCAGGUAAAACAUGGAGAGAUCCAUCAGGGAGCCCAGCAAGAAGGGACCCAGAAGAAAACCAGAUCUAUCAUGGACCAGGAAGAGGAAAAAAUUUAUCACAGUCCAUAUAAAACCGGUGUAGAUAAGUUUUUGCCCUUCAAGGAAAAUUGGUAAAAGAAUAUAAUUAGUAAAUUCUUUCAAUUUUUAGUAUAUGGAAAAUAAUUAUCACCCAUGAUUGAAUUAUUGGACAACAUCAUCAAAGAGAACUCUAGCAAAGUCCUUUCGUAUUUUCAUAUUUUCACUCUGUACCGAAUAAUUUUUGUUUUUUUUUUUUAAAUGAGAAUUGGAGAUUAGGAGAGUAGAACCUAAGCUUGUAAAUGCAGAUUGAAUAGUCUUAUAAUUGAAAUAUCUAAAUAAAAUCAUAAACAAAAUGAAUUUUAACUCAGAUCUUAACAAAUUAAUAUAAUAAUCUCAAUUUGAUCUAGUGUAUCUUUUGAUUUACAGUUUUUUAAGUCAAAUGUCAAUGAUAAAUUUAAAAUUUUAGUAGUUUUUUUCUCGUAACUCUAUUCCUAUUAUUAGAAUCUCUCUUUUACCGAAAAAUUCUUCAUAGUUAUGGAGGAAAAAUUUUUCUUUUUCUUGAAAAACUUAUCAUUUAUUUUAUUUUAUUUAUAAUUUUAAUUAAAUCGGUUGUUCAUAAUUUUUCAAAAAUUUAGAUUUGAAAUAAAAUAUAUUUUUUUUAAUUUUAGGCCAUCAGUAAUUUUUAAGUUCAGUGACUCAUAAUAUUAAAUUUAUAUUUUUUUAAUUCACAACAAUAUUUUAAUUUUUAAGUUCUGUAAAUUCUUGUGGCUCUGUGUGAAUGUGCUUGGAUCAUGAACUAUCAAUAAGAUUCAUCACAAUCAUACCCAAGAUCAAGAUCAAAUAAAUAAGCUGAUCAACUCUGCAAAUAGAAUAUAAACUGUACAUCAUACAAAUAUUUGAAAUAUAAAGAUUACAGGACUAACAUCCACUCCAAAUUUAAUCAUAUAUAUAUGUAAUCAAUGAUACUGAUCAAUGCGAAAGAUGAAGUCAUCACUGUGAGAUCAAACAUCGAAACAUUUAUGGUAUAGUUGUUUAAGGACUGGGAGUUGAUUGAGGAGGUUUUGUGUCCUUGGCAAGGAAUGUGGGCUUUGGUAACUCUGGCAAGUGGGGAAAAGUUGGCAGUUCAGGUUUUGGUAACUCAGGCAAUUCAAGUUUUGGCAAAGUGGGAAUUUCAGGCUUUGGCAACUCAGGCAAUUCAGGUUUUGGCAGUGUGGGAAGUUCAGGCUUAGGGAAGGCUGGGACUUCUGGUAAUGGUGGAAGCUCAACCUUAGGCAGUGAAGGCAAUUCAGGCUUGGGAAGCUCAGAUACCUCAGGCAAUGCUGUUUUUAGAAGGUGUCGUGCAUCUACGGAUUGACAGAGUGAUAAGUGAGAGCAUAAUGAUGAGGGAAGGGGAGCGAUGAUCGGCCAAAAUGCGACAAGAUCAACCACCUGCAAAGUGAAUAGUAAUUAAAAUUUCUGGACAAUUUUGUUUUGCGUGUUGAUGUUCACUUAGUGUUGAGCUUUUAUAGAAGUGGGAAGUGGAGAAUGGAGAACCUUCAAUGGUAAUUUGGUGGGAAAACUUGUGUCCUGUUAGCUCAACUUCCCAUCUAUAAUCCUCCAACAACUGGCAUGACCCAUUAUAGGCUUCCAUACAAAAGUAAUCUUUCCGUCCUUCUACAUGGAUUCAAGAGAUUAGUUGGAGAGAACCACAGCUAAAAGAUUGACAUUAAGCUAAAAUAUGUUGUCAGAAAUCACAACACUUGUCAAGUUCAAGCAUUUUUACAAAUUUAAUAAUUCACCACCACUAAACUUUGACAAAUCUUCCUUUAUUGCAACGCUUAUUGUUAUUGUUGGAAUUUAAUGACUGACCGAUCCAAAUCUCCAUGCGAUGAAAGUGUUGAAUUCCAAUUUAAUAUGAUGGCCUCUUCUAAAAUACUUCUAGACAAUUUAAAUUAAAUUUCAAUUAACUUAUCAUAUUAUAAAGCUUAUUAUUAUCAAUGUCAAGACUACGUUAUGAAAAAUAUCUUUCAUAUUUUUUGUUAUUUGGAAUAAUGAGAAAAAUUAAUCAAUAAAAAUAUUUUCUUGAUUAAAGAAAAAAUUAAAUCAUUUUAAAAAAAUACUGCUUCUUGGCUCUUUCUUUCUCAUCAAUUCUAUUUUCCUGUUGUGCUCUUCCAACAAAUCCAUAGUCACCAACUUGCCCUUUGAAAUUUAAAUUAUUGGACGACAUCAUCAACGAGAAUUCUAGCAAAGUUCUCUAAUAUUUUCUUCAUCAAUGUUGAAUUUUGAGAGGGAAGGGGAAUAAUACAUAUGAAUGCGACUAAAUAGUCUUACAAUUUUAUUGAUUGUAUUGUUAUUUAUACAGUCAAAUAUAAUUAAAAAAUCUAAAUAAAAUUAUAAAUAAUUUAAAUAUUAACUUAAAUAUUAAUAAAUUAAAAUAAUGAUUCAAAUUUAAAUUAUAUGAUUUAGCAUAUUUUUCGGUUUCUAAAUCAAAUAUCCAACGAUCAAUUUAAAAUUUUAGUACUCAUAAGCCCUUGGUAUUAUUAGAAACUCUCUUACUAAAAUUUUUUAAUAAUUAUAAAUAAAAAAGUUUUAUUUUUCUUUCAUAAUAUUAGAAAUAAAACCAUAUCAUUUAUUUUAUUUAAUUUGUAAUCGAAUUAAAUCGGUUGUUCAUGAUUUUUUGAAAAAUUAGAUUUAAAAUAAAAUGGAUAAUUUUUUAAUUUUAGGCCAUCAAUAAUUUUUAAGUUCAGUAAUUCAUAAUACUAAAAUUUUUUAAAAAAAUUCACAACAACAAUUUAAUUUUUAAGUUCAGUAAUAAUUUCUCUUUGUGGCUCUGCAUGAAAGUGCUUGGAUCAUGAACUAUUAAAUAAGAUUGAUCAGUCAUACCCAAAAUCAAAUAAAUAAGCUGGAUCAACUCAGUAUAUAGAAAAUGAACUCACAAGAUACAUCAUUCAAACAACUGAAACAGAAAUAUUAUAGGACUACCACUCACUGCAAAUUAAUCAUGUAUAUGUAAAAGAAGAUAUAAAUGAUACUGAUCAAUGCGAAAGAUGAAGUCAUCACUGUGAGAUCAAAUAUAGAAACACUUAUGGUGUAGUUGUUUAAGGACUGGUGGUUGAUUGAGGAGGUUUUGUGUCCUUAGAAGGCAAUGUGGGCUUUGGCAACUCAGGCAAGUGGGGAAAAGCUGGCAAUUCAGGCUUUGGCAACUCAGGCAAUUCAGGUUUUGGCAGUAUGGGAAGUUCAGGUUUAGGAAAGGUGGAGACUUCAGGUAAUGGUGGAAGCUCAACUUUAGGCAAUGAUGGCAACUCAGGCUUGGGAAGCUCAGGUACCUCAGGCAAUUCUGUCUCCAGAAGGUGUCGUGCAUCUACAGAGAUUGAUAGAGUGAUGAGUGAGAGCAUAAUGAUGAGGGAAGAGCGAAGAUCGGCCAUAAUGCUAU